GCCCGCUUAGCUCAGUGGUAGAGCGCAUCACUAGUACUCCCCUACAACGGGAAUGAUGAGGUCGCCAGUUCAAUUCUGGUAGCGGGCA
rnacentral:tRNA from 1 species